rnacentral:rRNA from 1 species
AACGAACGCUGGCGGCAUGCCUAACACAUGCAAGUCGAACGAGACCUUCGGGUCUAGUGGCGCACGGGUGCGUAACGCGUGGGAACCUGCCCUUAGGUUCGGAGUAACUCCCCGAAAGGGGCGCUAAUACCGGAUAAUGUCUUCGGACCAAAGAUUUAUCGCCUUUGGAUGGGCCCGCGUUGGAUUAGCUAGUUGGUAGGGUAAAAGCCUACCAAGGCGACGAUCCAUAGCUGGUCUGAGAGGAUGAUCAGCCACACUGGGACUGAGACACGGCCCAGACUCCUACGGGAGGCAGCAGUGGGGAAUAUUGGACAAUGGGCGAAAGCCUGAUCCAGCAAUGCCGCGUGAGUGAUGAAGGCCUUAGGGUUGUAAAGCUCUUUUACCCGGGAUGAUAAUGACAGUACCGGGAGAAUAAGCUCCGGCUAACUCCGUG